CACGGAUUGAGACAUCAUGCAGGAGGUACGGGGGGCCUUCCUGGGUAUAGAUGAAGCUAUGAGCCAUGCAGAAGUUUUAAAGCUGGCUCAGGGUAUGAACUUGAAUGUCGUAGUCUUCGACACUGCUCUGACCAGACACACACACUGCUCCAGCUGAACACACAAUGUGUCUACUUUCAUUUCCUCAAGUGACUGGGACUCAAGAACCAGACAAUCCCUUUGUAAACCAGGUUCCGGGUACUGGAAGGUCGGGUUCGGUACGACCUACGUUGUCAGCGGCUCUAUAAACAACAACAACAACACCGUCCUCAGGACUCCUGCACCAGCCUUCGUCGGGAGUGGACGUCUCUCCCUUGCCUGUGUAACUAAGUUUA